rnacentral:misc_RNA from 1 species
AACGACAUCAGUGCUGGUGCAAACAAC